rnacentral:lncRNA from 1 species
AGGUUAAUAUUUAGAGCAAAUUUAUUAAAUGAAUGGGAUUUUUCCAGCAUGGGAUUUUUAAAAUUAAUUUAUCAAUCCCUUGCCUGGCAGUGCUAGAAGAGACAAAAGGGAAUGUGUCUGUAGCGUUGAGUUUUAUUUCAGAGAGAUUUUUUUUUUCCCACUUUUUUGGGGGGGGAGAAAGGCUCACCUUACAGCAUCACUUCUAGCUGUUCUGUGGCACUGCACAGGAUGCUAUGUGCCCUGACCUGCCCAUGCCGCGUGGUGCCUCGCCACGCCAGGCCAGGAGCCGGGCUGGGAGCUGCGGGUUUGGGUUUGUGCGUUGGCAGUGCGAUGGAUUCCUAAAGCAUCCACUUCCCCCAGCAGAGCUUGCAGUUAAUGCCUCUGGGGGGGUUGACAAUGUAUGACUUGCUUCUUGUUGUUGCUGUUUUAAAAAUAACCCAGCAGCAUCCCCACGCCCCAAACACUACCAAGUGUGGGGAGCAGCACGCCUGAAGCCGAGGCUUUUGGCACGGCCUGCCUGCACAGGGAUGCUGCCGAGUCCCCUGUCUGCAGCUUCACGAUGGCAAACCCUGUGCUGGGAGCUGCAAGGCACCGGGCUGCUUCUGAUAGAUCUGCUUGUAGCAGGCAUAGGCACCGCUUCGUCAGAAGGGUGACAGCUCAUCAUUAGCCAGUUCGGUCACAUAUGUUACGGCGGUGAGCGAUGUUUGAUCAAGUGAAGCUCGAGGUUAGACAUGAAGAAAUAGGUUGUAAAGCAUGCUUUGUUAAUACAAAACAGAGAGGUGGCUCCCUGGCAUCUAAUGCAAACAUCUAAUAGCUCUUAUUUUAUCCUCAUCUCCCAAAAUGUGCUAAGCCUAAGUGGAAGCAGCUGCUUCCUGCGCAGAGAGAGAGCCGGCCCCAGCCCCGCGCUCAAUUAGCUGCGUUGUGCCUCCCAGUGCUGCAUUACGGCCGCUCCUCCGUCAGAGGCAUUAGCAAACGUGGUGCUGUAAUGAAUUUGCAAACGGGGCUGCCAGUGGCCCCGGCGCAGGAAUGCAGUGGGGCUGCACUGGGCCAGGUGUAUGGGGCGGGGGAGGAAGGCUGCUCCAGGCUGGGUUUUGCAAUUAGGCCGCGUGGUGUAACUCUUUUGUUUCGCAGAAGGCAGCUUUAUUAAUUGAUGUAGAAGGUUGCUGCGCGCUAUUCAUUGUUUGAUUAAAAUGCCUGUAUAAAUAAUUAGGCCUCUUCUGUUUGUUUUAUUUUUGCACCCAAUUUGCAUUUUCAUGCAGAAUGAAAAUGAAUUAGCAAAUAUAUUUAUUUUCCAAAUUUUUUAACCCGUCGCCGCUCUCCCGUGGUCAGCCAUCACUGGUCCAGAGCCCAGCAGCUCUGCUCUUCCUUUGUGUGCUUGGGGGAUGUUGGGGCAUGUGAUGGGGGGAUCCCAGGAAGGAAUAACCCAGAAGCGCUGGGGUGGCCCCAGGCUGGUGGGACUCUGCUGCAGAGAGCAGCUCUCAGCCAGACCCCAAUUUGCACCCAUCGACUUCAUGGGCUGUGUGAACUGCUGGGAAUGCUGCUGUUGUGCUGCAGGGGCUGGGGCCAGGGGUGCAUCCACAGUGCCAGAGCUGCACUGCUUGGUGCAUCGGGGCCUGUCUGUCCUUGUAAAUGUAGGAAAAUCUGUCUGCUGGCAGGAAAUCCAGAACAGCGUCGUAGUCGGUAUUAAAUCUUUAUCUUAGGAUGAAAUUGCUUUGAGUUGUAAACUGGUGCACUUGAUUUCCGUGCAUUAUUUGCUCUUUCUUGAGCAAACUGCUGCAGUGCAAUGCAGAAUUCAUUGGCCAUCGGGGCUGCCCUACAGACGUGGGUCAUCUGCACCAGGCAUGGUUCUUCCCUCAGGCACGUGCAGCUGCUUUUCCACGUUGGAUCAGGUGUGCACCCUUUCAAUGAAGCUGAGCACAGCUCACAUCCUGUAUGAUUCAUGAUGGACAGAUCCAUUUGCCAUGGUGUUUCCCUCCCUUCCCUGGCAGCACAGGCUGAGUGCUCACCCCCUGAGUGCAGGGAGAGCACCUCGCUCCCUGCUGCUGGGCAGUGCUGGGCUGGGAGGAGCUGUGCCGGGCAGCAGAGCAGGCUGCAGGACUUGUGCCUGUUUGCUGCUGGCAGUGACUGUGCUUUGGGAGGAUGGGAAUGAUGAUGCAUGCCUGCUGGUUUUGUGCUGCUUAAAACCUCCGUAGCAAGCUGGGGUCUUUAAAUCGGUGCCCUCAAUGUUGAUCUCUAUUUUUCUACUUGCAAAGACAAAAAUUAGAAGUGAAAAACAUAUAACUCUUGGAUCGUGAGGGGUAUCUGGUGUUGUUGUGCAUGGCCUGAGCAUUAAACCCAACGUCACCUCUGCCCCAGGAGCGGUGUGGGGGAAGCUGGGUGGGUUCUCAUCUCCCACAGUGCUGCUCUGCAGCCCCACACAGGUGCUGGAGGAUCUGGCCUUUGGCAGCCGUGGCUGAUGGUCCCUUCUGGAAGGGCUGGGCCAACAGCGCGCGUCCUCAAGUUUUUCCAGGCGUGGAUCGAUAGGCAAGCACAGUUUAACAGCAGCUGCAACAACAACAACACAGAAAGCUUGCUCUGUGCGGCUGGUCCCCGGGGAGAAGCAGAGAAUUGUCCUCGUAAUAAGAGAGGCUCAGUUUGGAGUAAGUAGCUCUCCCUGGGAAACUCAGGAGCAGGGGCAGGCAGCAACAGAAAGCAGUGCUGUUGGGCUCUCACUCAGCCAAGCUCUGGUGUGGCGCUCCCCACUCUGGGUCAUGGCAGUGGCAGCUCCGUGCUAUGGGAGCAGAUCCAAAGGAAGGGCAGAGCUGGAGCCUCCUACCUCGAGGUGUGCAGCACUGCAUGGCCGGGAGCUGCUCAGGCAGGAUUCACAGCAGCAUCACACUCCUGUGCACAGUGUGACUGUGCUGAGCUGUGGCCGUGGUGGCAGCCUGCUCUGCGUAGCGCUGCCAGAGGCUUUUCCUCACUCCACCAUCUCCCUAGAAGCCCUCUCCUCACCUUGCAUGGGAUGCAGUGAGAUCUGCAUGGGGCAGGCACUGCUCUUGGCACUCUGUGCACAUUGAAUGGGGCCAAUCCCAGUCUGCAGUGGUCCCUUUUCUGGCUGCAUGUGAAGGCUCCAGAUCCCCCUGACUCCUCGUGGAGGUGGAGGAUGGCCAUAGACUGCGGUGCUUUGAAAGCAUGUGGCCGCAGGGGCCGAUCUUGAGAGAUGCCACACAUUGCUGCUCUCGCUGGUCCCUUCAGCAGCCCUGCCUGUGCCAGCCCACAUUAUCCUCUGCCAGAGCCCGGUUAUAUUCCCAGAGAAUGGGAUUAAACUCCAAACAGAUCCUUGUGCCUCCUGGCUGACGUUUGCUGCCUGCUGCCAGCUUGUUUCUGGUGUUGUGGGGUUGCAGUGUGCACCAGCAACUCAGUGCAGCACAGAGACUGGUAGUAGGAGCUUUGCACAUCUCCCCCAUGCUCUAGGGGAUGCUGCAGGAUUUUCCCUUUUCCUUGUGGCUCAGAACUUGUGUUUCUUUGCUGAAAUUUCCUUGUGGCAUGCCAAGAAGCUGGUGAGUGCUGUACAAAUGCUGGACACGUGUUGCUGUGUGCGGCCACCCAAGUCAGCUCUGGCUGUUGUUGAGCUGCUGCUGUCCUUACUCUGCAGUGCUAUUCCAGUGAAAUCAUAGCGUUCAGGGUUUGGAUCCAACAUUACAUUUCUUUUUCCCCCACCAGAAUGUUGCAUCCUAUAUUUAUUCCUUUUGCAUUCUCUGCCAAACACAGGGUAGUCAAUGGGUGGAAUUUUUUGCAAGAAAUUCAGAAAAAUUCAGACUUUUAAAUUAAAAAAAAAAAAGCAACAACUUGAGAACACAGCUUUAAGAAUGUGCGUGUGUCUCUGAGUGAGUUGUAAUGCACACAGCCAAAUCCAAGUGAUCCCACCCUCCCUUUUUCCUGUCACUUACAUGCAGCCAGCCGCAAUGAGCCAGCCCAGCACUCUCUGUAGUAAAGGUGAGUGCUGGGGCUGCUUGGACAGGACCAUGCCCAGCAGGGCUGUGGCACAAUAUGGUAUAUGGUGUGUGUGAGGUGCAUGUGGCAACCUGGAUUGGUUUGCCCAGAGAGGUGGUGUUGCCCCAUGUGGUGCCCUUGAGACGCUCAAGGUUGGCCUGGACAGGGCUCUGAGCACCUGAUGGUGCUAUAGGUGUCCCUGCUCAUUGCAGGGAGGUUGGACCAGAUGACCUUUAAUGGCCCGUUCAUGUUCAAAUGAUUCUAUUAUUUGAUGUCCAUUGUUGUGAAAAUGCAUAUUUUGCAUAAAAUUGUAUGGGAUGAAUCAAGUGUUCAUUUUACUAUGUAUGUUGCUGUGUUCGUGAGCUUUCCAAAUAACUUUCUGCAUGUGUAGUGGGCUCCUCGCUGAGAAGGUGGCAGUCCUGAACGCUUGAGUGAAAUGUUCUCCUUGUAAAUUGAAUAGCAGGGAAACAUAAAUCUGUUUAAAG